rnacentral:rRNA from 1 species
AAUGAACGUUGGCGGCGUGGAUUAGGCAUGCAAGUCGCGCGAGAAGUCAUUUAGCUUGCUAAAAGACGGACAGCGGCGGAAGGGAGAGUAACGCGUGGUUAUGUACCCUCGAGACCGGGAUAGUGUCGGGAAACUGGCAGUAAUACCGGAUAACAUCUUCGGAUCAAAUGGUGUGAUUCCGCUCGAGGAUCGGACCGCGUACUAUUAGCUAGUUGGAGGGGUAAUGGCCCACCAAGGCUUAGAUGGUUACCGGGUGUGAGAGCAUGGCCCGGCUCACUGUGAGUGAGACACUGCCCAGACAGCUAGGGAUGGCUGCAGUGGAUGAUCUUCGGCAAUGGACGAAAGUCUGACCGAGAGACGCCGCGUGCGGGAUGAAGGCCUUCGGGUUGUAAACCGCUGUCAGUUAGGAGGAAAUCCAUGAGGGUUCUCUCUCAUGGUUGACCGAUUUUCAGAGGAAGGACGGGCUAAGUUCGUGCCAGCCGCCGCAGUAACAC